UCUCAGCGUAGGUUGUGUCGUACGGCAGACAGUACGAGAGUGGCGGUAGGAGGAUGACUUCAAGAUCAGAGGCGCCGGAACGUUGGACGCAGAUGCACAUAGAUUACUUGAUACUGAUGUAUAAUUUUGAUAAUAUCCAAGCAUCAAACAGUGGCCUGGUAAUGGGAUAGCCCCGACCACAAUACACCCUUCAGCGAGGCGGAAGAGAAACAAGGAAACAGCAUUACCCGGGAAACGCGUCGGUAAUCCCGACCAAUCCAAGAACCAUCGGUUUCAAUAGAUGUAUCAGCUUCAUUGUCACCAUCACCGAAGUCAAGCCGUAUCAGCGAUCGAAACUGCAAUCGAUUGCAUAGACAUUCGAGGUUUAAUCGCUUAAAAAAAUAAUUUAUAAUAACGAAAACUUAUACUUGGAUCCUCCCCGAAACGCGUCAAUCUUACUAUAUAUAUGUGUUAUGAUUAAAAUUAUACUUGUGCAAAAUAUGAACCGUGUAGCGCGUGUAUUACGCGAAUAAAUUACAUUGUCUAUCGAAAUGC